GGAGACCUCGGCUAUCCUGGCCCUCCGAGGCCCACGAGGAGGCGCGGCCCAACGCCGGGGCCUGAAACAUUGAGGCCGGACCCUAGCGAGACAGCAGAGCCUGGCCUGACGCUGGAAACCACACCCUGGCCCAGACUGCCAGCCCUGACGGGACAGAGCGAGGGCACUCACCAGGCUGCAGGAACAGUGCUGGGGUAAGAGGGGAGCGGGCCUAAAGGUGGAGGAUUCUGGGCCUGGGACCCAGCCUGCAUUCCUUUGUUCAUUCAUUCAUUCAUUCAUUCAUCCAUCAGCAGGGACCCACUAGUGAGGGGCCAGGCCUGCUUCCCCAGGGCCUAGCUGAGGAAGACAGGGCAGAGGGGCCAACAGUAGUCUCACACCUUGCUGGGACAUCCUGGACUCUGGAACCAAGAGCAAACAGGGAUGUCAAAACAGUAUGCAAAAGUGUGGAUGAUGGCGGGGCAUGGUGGUGCAUGCCUGUAAUCCCAGCAGUUUGGGAGGCUAAGGCAGGAGGAUCACUUGAGCCCAGGAGUUCCAGACCACCCUGGACAACAGAGUGAGAACCUGCCUCUACAAAAAAAAAAAAUUUUUUUUUUUUUUUUAAUUAGGCGGGCAUGGUGGCACAUGCCGGUACUCUCAGCUACUCAGGAGGCUGAGACAGGAGGAUGGCUCAAGCCCAGGAAUUUGAGGCUGCAGUGAGCUAUGAUUGCACCACUGUACUCCAGCCUGGGCAACAGAGGGAGACCCUGUCUCUAAAAAAAAAAAACACAUUUUUAAAAAUGUGGAUGCUGAUGAGGAUGGGGGCUUCCAAGCCAGAGGGAGGGUUGGGGCAUGACUGGACUGGACUGGGCAGUGGGGUCAGUGUUUAGGGGUCUAGGGUCAGCAUUUGAGGUCAUAGUGUCAGUAGUUGGGUCACAGGGUUGCUAUGGGGGACGUUUGCAGUGGGAGUGGGGUUCACUCAAGCAAUUAUGAAGCAUUUUCAGGGACAGCAAUGGGAAGAACCGCAGGGUCAUUCCUGAGGUGCAGAGGGUCAGCCUGGGUGGGGGCUGGGGGCCAUCCGUGAAGGGUCAGAGUCCAUCUUGGAGGGAUUCCAAGCUCACAUGGCAUCAGUGAGUCAAUGAGGAGUCUCUGGAUUGGAUCUUUAGAUCUGAGGAUAACAGGGUUAAUCUUGGGGUUUCUGGGGAUCCCAGGAUCAGUUAGGGGCUCCCUGUCUUGUUCCCUCUCCAGGCUGCAGAGGUGAGGGAAUUCUGGAAGAAGGAAUAUUUGCUCAGAGGCUGGGCAACAGCACCCCUCCUGGGUCACAAAGAGCUCAGAGACAGUGCGCUGCCUAGCACCUAGGGGGGCGCCUCCUACUCUAACGUAGGACCCACUCCCGUGUCCUGGAAGUUUCUGGGCCUGCCCCCGCCAUCUGCCUUUGCCUACUGAAACUCCUCCCCUCCUCCUUUCCCCCUCCCCCUCCCUCCUUCCCAUUUGAGGGGUUUCUUGAGCUAAGCAGGUGGGAGCGGGGCACCUAGUCCUCCUCCCCAGUGGCUGCCUUCUUUCCCACAGGUGAGUACCCCCACGUCG
rnacentral:sRNA from 1 species